AGAUUGAACGCUGGCGGCAGGCCUAACACAUGCAAGUCGAGCGGUAGAGAGGUGCUUGCACCUCUUGAGAGCGGCGGACGGGUGAGUAAUGCCUAGGAAUCUGCCUAGUGGUGGGGGAUAACGUUCGGAAACGGACGCUAAUACCGCAUACGUCCUACGGGAGAAAGCGGGGGACCUUCGGGCCUCGCGCCAUUAGAUGAGCCUAGGUCGGAUUAGCUAGUUGGUGAGGUAAUGGCUCACCAAGGCGACGAUCCGUAACUGGUCUGAGAGGAUGAUCAGUCACACUGGAACUGAGACACGGUCCAGACUCCGUACGGGAGGCAGCA
rnacentral:rRNA from 1 species